rnacentral:rRNA from 1 species
UACGUAGGGGGCAAGCGUUGUCCGGAUUUAUUGGGCGUAAAGAGCGUGUAGGCGAUUAGGUAGGUCCGUUGUGAAAACUCGAGGCUCAACCUCGAGACGCCGAUGGAAACCAUCUGACUAGAGUCCGGAAGAGGAGAGUGGAAUUCCUGGUGUAGCGGUGAAAUGCGCAGAUAUCAGGAAGAACACCCGUGGCUAAGGCGGCUCUCUAGUACGUGACUGACGCUGAGACGCGAAAGCGUGGGGAGCGAACAGG